CUUCAGGUAUUUUGUGACCUGUCAUCUAUGACAACCCUUCUUCAUAGCCAUGGAAGAACAUGUUCCUGUGUACGGCAAAUCUGUCAACCAGUUUAAUUGGUGUCUGGUUCUGAUUCACAUAAAUAACAUUC